rnacentral:rRNA from 1 species
GUCCAGACUCCUACGGGAGGCAGCAGUGGGGAAUAUUGCACAAUGGGGGAAACCCUGAUGCAGCGACGCCGCGUGAGCGAAGAAGUAUUUCGGUAUGUAAAGCUCUAUCAGCAGGGAAGAAAAUGACGGUACCUGAGUAAGAAGCUCCGGCUAAAUACGUGCCAGCAGCCGCGGUAAUACGUAGGGGGCAAGCGUUAUCCGGAUUUACUGGGUGUAAAGGGAGCGUAGACGGCGAUGCAAGCCAGAUGUGAAAGCCCGCGGCUCAACUGCGGUAGUGCAUUUGGAACUGUAUGGCUGGAGUGCAGGAGAGGCAGGCGGAAUUCCUAGUGUAGCGGUGAAAUGCGUAGAUAUUAGGAGGAACACCAGUGGCGAAGGCGGCCUGCUGGACUGUAACUGACGUUGAGGCUCGAAAGCGUGGGGAGCAAACAGGAUUAGAUACCCUGGUAUC